AGAAUCUACAAAAAAAAAAAUGUUACUAGAAUAGGAAUCCAUGCUCCAGAAAUAAUCACAUAAAGAGGAAGUUUCCUGAACAGCUCUUAGGAUGAAGGGUGUCUGCGUGACAGAGCCUCGGUGACAAUCGGGAAAAAUGCAAAUACAGUCAGUAGAGCGACGGCAAUGGAAGGUUUUUCGAGGAAGGGGUGCUGAUGCAGGCCUGUAGCGUAAGAUGGAUCAGCUCUACACAGGGUGACUGGAAAUGGGCAGAGAGGGCGGGUGAGAGGUGUUAGUAGGUGACACACUCUUCUAACACAGUCGCGAUUGUAGGGA